UACGGAGGGAGCAAGCGUUGUUCGGAUUUACUGGGCGUAAAGGGCGCGUAGGCGGUCUUGUCAGGUCGCUUGUGAAAUCUCCGGGCUUAACUCGGAACGGUCAAGUGAUACUGUCGGACUAGAGUACAGAAGGGGCAACUGGAAUUCUCGGUGUAGCGGUGAAAUGCGUAGAUAUCGGAAGGAACACCAGUGGCGAAAGCGGCUUCCUGGUCCAGCACCGACGUUCAGGCACGAAAGCGUGGGGAGCAAACAGG
rnacentral:rRNA from 1 species